ensembl:snRNA U6 U6 spliceosomal RNA
GCUCAUUUUGAUAGCAUAUACUAAAACGGAAAUGAUACAGAGAAAGCUAGUAUGGGCCCCUGUGUACAGAUGACACUCAGAUUUUUGAAACAUUCUCCAGCAGU